rnacentral:rRNA from 1 species
UAUUCUGUAGCAAGGUUAACCGUAUAGGGGAGCCGGAGGGAAACCGAGUCUUAAUUGGGCGUUAAGUUGCAGGGUAUAGACCCGAAACCCGGUGAUCUAGCCAUGGGCAGGUUGAAGGUUGGGUAACACUAACUGGAGGACCGAACCGACUAAUGUUGAAAAAUUAGCGGAUGACCUGUGGCUGGGGGUGAAAGGCCAAUCAAACCGGGAGAUAGCUGGUUCUCCCCGAAAGCUAUUUAGGUAGCGCCUCGUGAAUUCAUCUCCGGGGGUAGAGCACUGUUUCGGCUAGGGGGCCAUCCCGGCUUACCAACCCGAUGCAAACUGCGAAUACCGGAGAAUGUUAUCACGGGAGACACACGGCGGGUGCUAACGUCCGUCGUGAAGAGGGAAACAACCCAGACCGCCAGCUAAGGUCCCAAAGUCAUGGUUAAGUGGGAAACGAUGUGGGAAGGCCCAGACAGCCAGGAUGUUGGCUUAGAAGCAGCCAUCAUUUAAAGAAAGCGUAAUAGCUCACUGGUCGAGUCGGCCUGCGCGGAAGAUGUAACGGGGCUAAACCAUGCACCGAAGCUGCGGCAGCGACACUGUGUGUUGUUGGGUAGGGGAGCGUUC